AUUGCAUUACAGAAAAAUGGUGGAUUUGGUUCACCAGGGCCAUGCACCAGGGAAAAACAUCCAUCCAGGAAAAGAUGUAUUCAAGUGCUGCAACAGGAGCAGGGACAAAGAACUAUGACACAUACCAGUCAGGCUGCCAGAUUCAAAAAGCAUGCUUUAGGUUUCAGGAGGCAGAGGUGAACUAGCAUUUUAUGAAGUCUGGGGACUAAGGAUUUUUUCUGCUUAAGUUUAAAUUUUUCUCUUUUGAUAAUGACAGUUCUGAAGACAUUUGUGUCCUUGUCAAAGUUGCAGAAUGGAAGAGGAUGAAAUCACAUUGCCAGUAUUUGGUUGAAAAUGUCUAGACUUCUGUGUCCUGGUCUCUGUAAUCAUGACAUCGACAUGAAUUGGGCUAUUGAAAAGAUUCAGUCUUCAGUGAGGAAUGAAAGGAAACAGCCCUGCAGCUAGUCCUCCCCCAGGAGAGCAUUUGGGCCCAAUUCCACCACUCACAUAGGGCAAGGACUGUCUCCAGGAAGACAAUCAUUUUUGGUCACAGGGGUUUAGCUGGCUGCAUGUGAAUUGAUCCAUACCCCUUUGCCUCUGGGACUGUAAAAUGCAGACUGUCCAAUUUUAUUUACUGUUAUAAGCACUGAUUAUUUUCUCUUUUCCAGGAAUUCAUAGACUUGAUUUACUUUACUCUCAUUCCUGUAUCUGUUUUGAAACUCUCUAGCAUGCACAAGGGACACAACAUUCCAAAGGGUCAAUGUUCAGGGCCAGAAAAAUGUUCCUCUUUUGAAGUGUAAAUGAAACUUGGCAGUAGGGUUUCAAUCAUUUGGGAUGUCUAAAUGGGGAUGGGAAAUUUAAGAAAGAGAUAUUUUUUUUGGUAUUGGCUGAAACCUCUAUCAAAACUCUGUAUGUUCCUUCAAGAUCUCUUAAGUUAAACCUGAAUAGUACAACACCUGGUGGUACCAAAUGAUUCAUGAUAAUCAUCUUAUAUCCUUGGUUUAAUUUGCAAGGCAAUAAUUUCUUACUAAGUGCAUCUGAAAUCCCAGGUUACUUUGUUACCAUCUGUGCAUACAUGGUUGUUUUGUCUGUGAAAUUCCUCUGUGAGUUACCGUGUCAACAUUCGCUGUACAACACUUCUAUUUACUGUGUAGCAGGGUGAGAACAGCAGUGGGUUUUCCUGUAAAUGCGAAAUUUUUCUUGGCUGACACAAUGUGCAGAGCCCUGCCAAGAAAAAGCUGGGUACUGGCUGCGUUCCUUACUGGUUCGAUGGACGUGCUUGGGGGUGUGUGCAGGUAUGUGUCUGUGAACAUGUGCAAAACCACACAUUUACUGGAGGGGCUGAAAAUGCUUUAGCACUGGCCAACACCACCACAUGCUCCCAUCACUGAUACUGCCAUGUAUGUUGCAGUCCCCAUUUAGGCUGCAGCUAGCUCACAUAUAUGACCAUGCACAACAGAGAUUUCACCAAAGGCUUAAUCAUUUGUGCCCCCAGAGGUACAAGCUCAGUGUCAGGACUUCUGCUUACAUUUUAACCUUAUGAUACAUGUCUUCUCUUUUUAAAAUCAACAAGACUUGCAAAUACUGAGAAGCCUCUUGAGUGCAGCAGCAAAACAACACAAGCAGUCAGUCCUUGCUGGAUGCAUUUGUGGCUGGCACUGCUGGACCUGGCUCUGUAUUUGUACCACUUCUCAGACUGAAAGCUGGCUGGAGUUUCAAAGCACAGCCCUGUGCUCAAGUUAAUCCAUUCUGAUCUCCCCACAGGCUUAUUAGCUUAGCCACUGUAUUAUCCUAGUGCAGCUACAUGGCCCCCAGAUCAGGAUAUCAGUGUCCAGACAGUUUAAAGAGUAGAUAAGCAUAGCCUAAAGGCCAUCUUUGGGACUUAUGGGGAUUUGGCCUUCUUGGAAAGGCAUCUUAUUGGUGAACUUCCAUAAAAUCAGAUAAAGGAAAAGCAGAGAGGAGAAAAAAGAAUAAAACUCCAAUUAUUCUGUAGUUGCCCCCCAGAUUUUCCCACUGACUGUCACAACACCUAUUCCUCUUACUUCAGCCAGUGUUCCAAGGAUUAGAAGCAAUCUAAUUGCAUCUUGGUGUCAGCUUACUGAAGAAAGACAAUAUUGAGUAAUUGUGUACUGAGAACAGUGGUAUGCACUGAAACAAAGAUGGCAAUCCUGUUUUCAGGGAGAUAGCAGCAUGUACAUGUCCCAGGAGAUGAUCCAAAUAAAUCCAUUCUCACUCAAGAAA